GACGAACGCUGGCGGCGUGCUUAACACAUGCAAGUCGAACGGAAAGGCCCUGCUUUUGUGGGGUGCUCGAGUGGCGAACGGGUGAGUAACACGUGAGUAACCUGCCCUUGACUUUGGGAUAACUUCAGGAAACUGGGGCUAAUACCGGAUAGGAGCUCCUGCUGCAUGGUGGGGGUUGGAAAGUUUCGGCGGUUGGGGAUGGACUCGCGGCUUAUCAGCUUGUUGGUGGGGUAGUGGCUGACCAAGGCUUUGACGGGUAGCCGGCCUGAGAGGGUGACCGGCCACAUUGGGACUGAGCUACGGCCCAGACUCCUACGGGAGGCAGCAGUGGGGAAUAUUGCACAAUGGGCGGAAGCCUGAUGCAGCCACGCCGCGUGCGGGAUGACGGCCUUCGGGUUGUAAACCGCUUUCGCCUGUGACGAAGCGUGAGUGACGGUAAUGGGUAAAGAAGCACCGGCUAACUACGUG
rnacentral:rRNA from 1 species